AUAGUUUAGGUCUAAAACAUAGUUAUUUCUAUUUGAUACAAUGGUUUAUAUAUAACUUGUCCUCGAAACAAAAGUAUUUACAAAAUUCCAAAUUCUAAAACCUAGAUACAAAACUAGUUUGAUCAUGUCAAGCUAACAUCAAAUAAUUUCAAAAAUUUGUAAUAUCCCCAUAUCACUUGCGAUUUUUUACUUGGAUUGAUUUCUCCGUCGGGAACAACUUCUUUAUUCUAUGGCGCCACAAGCAUCUUGCGGCUUUGAGUUUUUCACUUGAUCUUUUUCCUCAAGUCUAGAUGGUAUAAGCGAGCACCUGUGAUUAAAGUGAAGCACACAUUAGUCAGGACACUAAACUAAUAGAUAUUGAAUAUUGUUAGUAUUUCAUCUUGAGUCAUUAAUUGAAAUGUACAAAAAGAUAUAUCACAACACAAAUGUUAAUGUUAAACCUUAUUACCACACAUAAUCCAUAAGUCUUUACAGGGUCAAAGUUUUAAUUAAUAACUUGUGAAGAGAACACCAUAUAUGAGUUUUCAGUUGACAUCUUACAUAAAAAAAAUUAAUUAUAUCUUACAAAGAAUACAAAAAAGAAAAAAUAAAUAAAACUUUUU
rnacentral:lncRNA from 1 species